GACGUAGGUGGCGAACGUUAUCCGGAAUUAUUGGGCGUAAAGGAUGCGUAGAUGGUGUAGUAAGUUAUCGGUGGCAAAUCGAGGCUCAACCUUGUGGAAGUCGGUAAUACUGCUAUGCUAGAGGAUAGGAGAGGUUAACGGAACUCCCUGUGGAGCGGUGAAAUGCGUAGAUAUAGGGAAGAACACCAAUCAGGCGAAGGCAGUUAACUAUUCUACUCCUGACAUUGAGGCAUGAAAGCGUGGGGAGCAAAACGG
rnacentral:rRNA from 1 species